CACGCCGUAAACGAUGGAUACUAGGUGUAGGAGGUAUCGACCCCUUCUGUGCCGCAGUUAACACAAUAAGUAUCCCACCUGGGGAGUACGAUCGCAAGAUUGAAACUCAAAGGAAUUGACGGGGGCCCGCACAAGCAGUGGAGUAUGUGGUUUAAUUCGAAGCAACGCGAAGAACCUUACCAGGGCUUGACAUAUAGUGGAAUAACCUAGAGAUAGGUUAGCUCUUCGGAGCUGCUAUACAGGUGG
rnacentral:rRNA from 1 species